AACGAACGCUGGCGGCAGGCCUAACACAUGCAAGUCGAGCGAGGACUUCGGUCCUAGCGGCGGACGGGUGAGUAACGCGUGGGAACGUGCCCUUUGCUUCGGAAUAGCCCUGGGAAACUGGGAGUAAUACCGGAUGAGCCCUUUGGGGGAAAGAUUUAUCGGCGAAGGAUCGGCCCGCGUUGGAUUAGGUAGUUGGUGGGGUAAUGGCCUACCAAGCCGACGAUCCAUAGCUGGUUUGAGAGGAUGAUCAGCCACACUGGGACUGAGACACGGCCCAGACUCAUACGGGGUGUGGCAGUGGGGAUUAUGAGAUGAGGGCGGAAGGCUUGAAAAGCCCAUGCAGCGGGAAAGAUAAAGACUGUAGGAGGAGAAGGCUCUUUGAGGAGGAGAGUGAAGGAGGGAACCGGAAGAGGAAGACAAGGACAAUCCGGCC
rnacentral:rRNA from 1 species